rnacentral:rRNA from 1 species
AUUGAACGCUGGCGGCAGGCCUUACACAUGCAAGUCGAACGAGUGGCGGACGGGUGAGUAAUGUAUGGGAACCUGCCUGAUGGCGGGGGAUAACUACUGGAAACGGUAGCUAAUACCGCAUACCAUCGGAUGUGCCGCGAUGGGAUUAGCUAGUAGGUGGGGUAAAGGCUCACCUAGGCGACGAUCCCUAGCUGGUCUGAGAGGAUGACCAGCCACACGGGGACUGAGACACGGUCCAGACUCCUACGGGAGGCAGCAGUGGGGAAUAUUGAACAAUGGGCGCAAGCCUGAUGCAGCCAUGCCGCGUGUAUGAAGAAGGCCUUCGGGUUGUAAAGUACUUUUAGCAGGGAGGCGUUACCCGCAGAAGAAGCACCGGCUAACUCCGUGCCAGCAGCCGCGGUAAUUC